CAAACAAACACCAAAAAGAAAAUGCUGCUGCUGAUGCUUCUCCGGCAGUUCGUCACCACGCAUGUCGCCAUGAACCCCCAACAGCCCCUCCUCGUCUUCUCCUUUGACAUCCAGAACACGACCUCCCUCCUAUCUUCAUCGUUACCUUUGUUCCCAAACGAGCAUCAAUAGAAGCCAUUGCUGCUGCUUCUCCUUCGUUCCUGUCUUCAGCUCGCCUCCCAAACAGUCAAUGACCACCCUCCACCUUCCCAAACGACCAGAACAACACCAAUGAACACCCCAGUGAUGCCUAACCCCGUUACCAAACGACCUCCUCCGUUCCUCCUCUGCCAGUCCAGCCACUCCCUCACGUCGUCGACCCUACAGCCUGUCGCCACCAUGAAACGAACCCCCCACGGACUGUCCAAAAAAUCAGUCCGCCAUAGCCCAUGAACAACCCAACAAUAAAACGCCCACCUCCAGCCACAAGCAGCGGCGUCGCUGCUGCCGCUCGUCCAAGCCCCACCAUCGUCUAUAUAUAUAUAUACAUACAUACAUAUAUAUAUGUAUAUAUGUAUGUAUAUAUGUAUAUGAGCUGUCUAUAUAUAUAUAUAUAUAUAUAUAUAUAUAUAUAUAUAUUAGCCGAGUGGAUCAUGGAUUCGUUGAGAUCGUUGUUGAGAUUCCGGGUAGAUUCGAGUUAUUUUUGUGUUUCAAAAUUUUCGGGCAGAUUUGUUUCAUUCGAAUUCAUCGUUGUUUAUAUCCGGUUAGUUGGUUUAAAUUUCAUUUGUAUCCGUAUUUUUGUUUGAUAUUUUAGAUCUAAAAUCAGUAUAUAUUUGAUUAUUUUCUUGA
rnacentral:lncRNA from 1 species